GGAGCAGGGUGCGAUCCUUGCUGGCUCUUCCGGCCGCCUAUCCGCCGGACCA
rnacentral:ncRNA from 1 species